rnacentral:rRNA from 1 species
GACGAACGCUGGCGGCGUGCUUAACACAUGCAAGUCGAACGGAAAGGCCCUGCUUUUGUGGGGUGCUCGAGUGGCGAACGGGUGAGUAACACGUGAGUAACCUGCCCUUGACUUUGGGAUAACUUCAGGAAACUGGGGCUAAUACCGGAUAGGAGCUCCUGCUGCAUGGUGGGGGUUGGAAAGUUUCGGCGGUUGGGGAUGGACUCGCGGCUUAUCAGCUUGUUUGUGGGGUAGUGGCUUACCAAGGCUUUGACGGGUAGCCGGCCUGAGAGGGUGACCGGCCUCAUUGGGACUGAGAUACGGCCCAGACUCCUACGGGAGGCAGCAGUGGGGAAUAUUGCACAAUGGGCGGAAGCCUGAUGCAGCAACGCCGCGUGCGGGAUGACGGCCUUCGGGUUGUAAACCGCUUUCGCCUGUGACGAAGCGUGAGUGACGGUAAUGGGUAAAGAAGCACCGGCUAACUACGUG